rnacentral:rRNA from 1 species
UGAGGAAUCUUGGACAAUGGGGGAAACCCUGAUCCAGCGACGCCGCGUGAAGGAUGAAGGUCUUCGGAUUGUAAACUUCUUUUAUCUGGGAAUAAGAACCCCGUGGAAACACGGGGAGUGAAUGUACCAGGUGAAUAAGCCACGGCUAACUUCGUGCCAGCAGCCGCGGUAAUACGAAGGUGGCAAGCGUUACUCGGAAUUACUAGGCGUAAAGGGCAGGUAGGUGGUUCGGUAAGUCUGUUGUGGAAGCUCCCGGCUCAACUGGGAGAGGUCAACAGAAACUACCGGACUUGAGUAUAGGAGAGGGUACUGGAAUUCCCGGUGUAGCGGUGAAAUGCGCAGAGAUCGGGAGGAACACCAAUGGCGAAAGCAGGUACCUGGACUAUUACUGACACUCAGCUGCGAAAGCUAGGGGAGCAAACAGG